AUCAGUGUGGACCAUUCUUACAAUGCUAAAAGCACAGUGAUACCAUUCGUUGGCAUAUACUCAAAGGCUAGGUUUCCUGCUACAGUCACUGUGAAUGUCGCACAAUUAUCAAUUUCCACAACUUUUUAUCACUCUAAACAGAAACUCUAUGAAAACAAAAACUUCCCAUUUCCUCGUGUUACUGACACCUGGAAACCUCUAUAUUAUUUUCUAUCUCUAUCGAUUUGCCUGCUGUAGAUAUUUCAUAUAAAUAGAAUCAUAUGGUUUUUUUUGUAUUUCAUAUAAGUAGAAUCAUAGGAUAUUUUUCUUUUUGUGCCCGGCUCAUUUCCUUUAGCAACAUGCCUUCUAGGUUCACCCAUGUUAUAAUAGCAGACAGCCUGCAUUUAAAGGCAGAUUCCCUUGUAUGUGUCUGAGCCACAUUCUGUUUAUCCAUUCACCUAGUAGGUUGUUUUUGGCUCUCAGCUAUUAUAAAUAUUGCAACAAUGAACUUCAGUGGGCAAAUAUCUCUUUUUAGUUCCUCGGAGGAAUCGAAUUUUGGAACCUAUGGUAAAUUUUGUGUUUAAUGUUUUGCAGAAACAUUACACACACACACACACACACACACACACACACACACACACACACACACACGUACCAACACCAUUUUACAUUCCAACUAGCAAACCACAGGCUUCUCUGUUUCUCCAUGUCCUUGCCAAUCUUAGUAGUUUCCAUUUUGUGAAUGCUAGCCAUCCUAAUGAGUGUAAAGUGGUAUUUCACUGUGGCACUGACUUACUUGGAAUUCCUCAGUAGCUAACAACUGUGAGUAUUUUAAUGUGUUUGCACACUGUCUACAUUUACAUCUAUUCUUUGGUGGAAUAUUUAAGUCGUUUGUUCAUUUUUCAGUUGGGUUGUUCUUUGUUGUUGCUAAGUUACAGGUCUUUAUACAGUCUAAGCACCAAUCCCUUCAUAUGGUAUGGAUUCCAGGUAUUUUCUCCUAUUCUGAGAAUUGUCUUUGCAUUUUUCACAGUACCCAUAUAUACUACUUUUGGCCCAGAUGUCUUAGUAUCAUGAAGAGUGAACCAAAAACUAACAUCAAGUAUGUGAUAAAUUAUUCCACGUGUGAAAAUAUCCUUGUAGAAUGUCCCCAUAAGAUUAAAAUAUAUAUAAUUUUAGAAAUCAUACAAGUAACUCUUCUGGACAAGGAGCACUGAUACACUGAAGAAGUCAUGAAGAUGAUGAUAGAUAUGGAACUGAAAGAGUUAACAUGAUUUGUGAGAAUAUAGUCUGUUCUCAGAGGGUGAUGUAUGCAGGUAAAGGAGGACAUAAUAUGUGCAUAAUUGUCUUUUGUAUAGCUGUUUUCCCUUUUCCAACUAACAAGCAGUGUAGAAAGGCAGUGGGGUAAUAAUGAUAAUGGAAUGCAGAUCUGGCAGUCUUUGGAGUUCCAGUGUUGACAGAGUAUUUAUCUUGACAGACCUCUGCUUAGCUAUCAACCAUGUGAGUCUUGCUUUAGGUGUUUCAAAGUCUAGAAGAAAACCUCAGAACCAAGCAAGGCAUAGGCGGGAACACAUUAUGUGUUGGGUAUAUAAUUUUAGUGUGUGUAAGAGUCAAGUGCCCAGAGAGCUAACAAGAAGGUUCCAUGCCUCAGUCUUCAGAGAUGGAGUGGAAUGUCUGGGAAGCUGCCAAGCAUUUGAUUUUGUGACAAGAAUUCUUUGUGACUCUGAAUUCAAUGGCCCAUGGAACACAGUGUAAGAAAUUCUGCUGGGUCCUUUAGUUUACCCAGAAACCUUCCAUACAUUGUAUCAAGACGGUAUAACAUUAUACCAUUCAGUUAAUGAGAAGAAACAGUUUUCAAUAACAUGGUAAACAUAAAUGACAAUACAUGAAGUCAGUUAUGU
rnacentral:lncRNA from 1 species